GCGGGCGUGGCGGAACUGGCAGACGCGCCAGACUUAGGAUCUGGUGUAAUUUACGUGGGGGUUCAAAUCCCUUCGCCCGCACCA
rnacentral:tRNA from 1 species